AGUGGCGAACGGGUGAGUAACACGUGAGUAACCUGCCCUUGACUCUGGGAUAAGCGCUGGAAACGGCGUCUAAUACCGGAUACGAGCUUCAGCCGCAUGGCUAGGAGUUGGAAAGAAUUUUGGUCAAGGAUGGACUCGCGGCCUAUCAGUUAGUUGGUGAGGUAAUGGCUCACCAAGACGACGACGGGUAGCCGGCCUGAGAGGGUGACCGGCCACACUGGGACUGAGACACGGCCCAGACUCCUACGGGAGGCAGCAGUGGGGAAUAUUGCACAAUGGGCGAAAGCCUGAUGCAGCAACGCCGCGUGAGGGACGACGGCCUUCGGGUUGUAAACCUCUUUUAGUAGGGAAGAAGCGAAAGUGACGGUACCUGCAGAAAAAGCACCGGCUAACUACGUGCCAGCAGCCGCGGUAAUACGUAGGGUGCAAGCGUUGUCCGGAAUUAUUGGGCGUAAAGAGCUCGUAGGCGGUUUGUCGCGUCUGCUGUGAAAUCUGGGGGCUCAACCCCCAGCCUGCAGUGGGUACGGGCAGACUAGAGUGCGGUAGGGGAGAUUGGAAUUCCUGGUGUAGCGGUGGAAUGCGCAGAUAUCAGGAGGAACACCGAUGGCGAAGGCAGAUCUCUGGGCCGUAACUGACGCUGAGGAGCGAAAGCGUGGGGAGCGAACAGGAUUAGAUACCCUGGUAGUCCACGCCGUAAACGUUGGGAACUAGAUGUGGGGACCAUUCCACGGUCUCCGUGUCGCAGCUAACGCAUUAAGUUCCCCGCCUGGGGAGUACGGCCGCAAGGCUAAAACUCAAAGGAAUUGACGGGGGCCCGCACAAGCGGCGGAGCAUGCGGAUUAAUUCGAUGCAACGCGAAGAACCUUACCAAGGCUUGACAUAUACCGGAAACGGCCAGAGAUGGUCGCCCCGCAAGGUCGGUAUACAGGUGGUGCAUGGUUGUCGUCAGCUCGUGUCGUGAGAUGUUGGGUUAAGUCCCGCAACGAGCGCAACCCUCGUUCUAUGUUGCCAGCACGUAAUGGUGGGAACUCAUAGGAGACUGCCGGGGUCAACUCGGAGGAAGGUGGGGAUGACGUCAAAUCAUCAUGCCCCUUAUGUCUUGGGCUUCACGCAUGCUACAAUGGCCGGUACAAAGGGCUGCGAUACCGUAAGGUGGAGCGAAUCCCAAAAAGCCGGUCUCAGUUCGGAUUGGGGUCUGCAACUCGACCCCAUGAAGUCGGAGUCGCUAGUAAUCGCAGAUCAGCAACGC
rnacentral:rRNA from 1 species